rnacentral:rRNA from 1 species
AGCAGCCGCGGUAAUUCCAGCUCCAAUAGCGUAUAUUAAAGUUGUUGCAGUUAAAAAGCUCGUAGUUGAAUUUCGGGGUUAGUAGGUUGGUCAUGCCUCUGGUAUGUACUGGUCUCACUGAUUCCUCCUUCCUGAUGAACCUUAAUGCCAUUAAUUUGGUGUUUUGGGGAAUUUGGACUGUUACUUUGAAAAAAUUAGAGUGUUUAAAGCAAGCUAACGCUUGAAUACAUUAGCAUGGAAUAAUGAAAUAGGACGUUCGAUCCUAUUUUGUUGGUUUCUAGGAUUGACGUAAUGAUUAAUAGGGAUAGUUGGGGGCAUUAGUAUUCAAUUGUCAGAGGUGAAAUUCUUAGAUUUAUUGAAGACUAACUACUGCGAAAGCAUUUGCCAAGGAUGUUUUCAUUAAUCAAGAACGAAAGUUAGGGGAUCGAAGACGAUCAGAUACCGUCGUAGUCUUAACCAUAAACUAUGCCGACUAGGGAUCGGAUGAUGUUAAUUUUUUAAUGACUCAUUCGGCGCCUUA